CCUACGGGUGGCAGCAGUGGGGAAUAUUGGGCAAUGGGCGCAAGCCUGACCCAGCAACGCCGCGUGAAGGAAGAAGGCUUUCGGGUUGUAAACUUCUUUUCUCAGGGACGAAGCAAGUGACGGUACCUGAGGAAUAAGCCAAGGCUAACUACGUGCCAGCAGCCGCGGUAAUACGUAGGUGGCAAGCGUUAUACGGAUUUACUGGGUGUAAAGGGCGUGUAGGCGGGGACGGAAGUCAGAUGUGAAAACCACGGGCUCAACCUGUGGUCUGCAUUUGAAACUGUGUUUCUUGAGUACUGGAGAGGCAGACGGAAUUCGUAGUGUAGCGGUGAAAUGCGUAGAUAUUAGGAGGAACACCAGUGGCGAAGGCGGUCUGCUGAACAGCAACUGACGCUGAGGCGCGAAAGCGUGGGUAGCAAACAGGAUUAGAUACCCGUGUAGUC
rnacentral:rRNA from 1 species